AACCUAUGGCUUUUGGGGGACACAGUUCAGUCCAUAGCAGUGGGGAAAGGAUGUGACAGUCUAGAGAGACUCAAGGAGGGAAUGCUUAGAUAGGAGUGUGGAGGGCGUGCCUGGUGAAGGGAACAGUAUGGCACAGCUUCAGAGGCAGGGGUGAGCCAGCAGCAAGGGGCUGGGUAUGGCCGGUACAAAAUGCAUGCGCUCGUGGGAAAUAGGCACCAAAGAAGGCCCAGAGAGGUUUAACAGUUUCCUCAGAAUCACACAGCUUCCAAAUGGUUGGGCUGGGUUUACAUUUAGGCGGUCUUGCUCCAGAGCCAGUGCUCCUAAGCAUUGCAAGCCACGAACCUCAACAAAGUGAAGGAAACGCUGGGAAAUUUGGAAGUCAGAUAUGCCUAGUUUAUCUCCCGGGAGAUGACUUUAUUUCUAAACGUAUAGGGGUUUCUUAGAGGAGCUUCAGAAUACUAAUCAUCGCUGGUGAGGGCACUUGAACACUGUGCUUAACCUCAGCCAGCACCUCUUUUCCCAGCUGUAAAAUGGUAUGGUAAUAAGCACCCCUAGGAAUCUCAAGGAUGUUACGAGUGAAAAAUAUGCAAUAAUAUACAAAGCACUUUGAGCUUCUCUGAAGACAGACGCAUAUAAAUGGAAGGUAGUAUUAUAAGGUGGGGUAAUCACUGGUUACCUCCCCCCCUUUUUUUAUUUAAUUAGGAGAAAACUAGUAAUUAGGAAGCAUUGCCUUGUUAAAGCUGUGGCCUGGGAAAUAGUUCUCUUGGCACCUAAUCAGAACUGUGACAUGGCGCAAGUUUUUGCAAAAUGUGGGCAGCAGGGGACCUUCCCCCAGGCUCAGACUGUGAGAAAUUUGCUGUCUAGGGGCCAGAUCCUGAGGUGGCUGAGCUGGCUGGGGAGGCUCCUAAGGAGAUCUUCACUCAGGUCUGCAAGGGACUCUGCCCUGCCUCAGUAGCCCUCAUCUCUGGGGGCCUCAAAUUCAUUCUCAUCUGCAGGUUACAGCUUGCUGAGGGCCCAGAACCAAGCUUUUCCACCACAUGGCGUUCUUGGACCCACUGGGGCGACUUCACGGUUCUGAAAAGCACCUCAGAUCUAGUCUGGUCUCUGAUUCAGUAGCAGAGACAAAGAAAUCCCCCGCCUGUUCCCCUUAAAGUGGGCCAUUGUGGAGUAGGUGCUGGGGCCCUAGCUUGCUCCCCACUGUGCCUUUGUUAGAGCAGUAGCCUCCAGCGGAACCCACUGUCUCUCUCCUUGCGAGUCCCAGUUUGCCCAUUCUCCUGGAUCCUGCUUAAAGGGCGCCUCUGCCAGGAGGCCUUCCCAGGUCUUCCCAGUUACCAUCACUCUCUUCCUCCUCUAGACUCUGUGUUUGGUACAGUGUGGUUUUUGUGUGUGUCCUGUCUUCUCUCACAUUUGACUCUCAGCCACUGGAAGAAAGGGAAGGAAAGUAAGAGAAAUGAAAUAUUCCCAUCCCCGGGUACCUGGCCAGAUGUUGCAGACAGACUGACCAGCACAAUUGUAUUGAUUCCCCCUCAAUGCAUUGAAAAAGCAAACGGGAGGCAUCGGAAAAUCUUGAGAUAAGCAGUUCCAUUUUCAAAGAUGAAUCUUUUAAAAUACGCAGAAAUUGUAUAACAAUCAUGUAUCCGCCACUUAGACUACCAAUGGUUACUCUUUUGUCAUAUUCACUUUGAAUGUCUUUUUAUUAUGUAUUUAAAAGAAGUGAAACUUGUAGAUACAGCUAGGGCUCCCCGUGUCCACUCACUGAAGUCCCUUCCCUCUCCCUUCUAGGGUCCAACACUUUCCUUGUCAUCUGAUAAAGGACCCUGCAUCCCUGGAUGGACAGAGGGGAUUGCUAAACUGCUGAAUCGCGUGUGAAAUUCUACGUGUGCCUCUUUCUCACACAUGCCACAUCCAUUGCGGAGCUGCUCUUGACUCAACCUUCCAGCAGUCUCCACUGCAACCACUCUGGCCGAGGCCACCGUUUUCUUUUUUUUUUUUUCUCUCGCCAUGGUUGGAGUGCAGUGGUGCGAUCUAGGCUCACUGCAUCCUCUGUCUCCAGGGUUCCAGCGAUUCUCCUGCCUCAGUCUCCUGAAUAGCUGAGAUUACAGGUUUUUCUAACUGUAAGAAGAGGACAAUAGCCUAUGAUCUACCGUGUCGAUUCCAACUCAGAGAAUCUUUACAUCUGGAGAUCUACAGCAGGGCUAUCCCUAGUGACAUGCGUGAAGGAGCUUGGAAAUGGUGCUGGGUAGGAGCUGAGUGUGCAGAAUGUGGAAAGGCAUUCUAAACCUAAGGAAGAACAUGAGUAAAGAUGAUGAAGCAGGGAUAAGGCUAAAAUGAAAUAUGUGAUCUGAUCCACAUACAAACACAGCGUAGUACAGCUGGAAUAUAGAGAAGAGCUUGAGGACCCAUGAGCAACUAUCCCAGUACUCUUGGAGGCUCUGCCACCACAGUUUGAGAAACUCCGCAUUCAAAGUUAAAAACUGUCACCUGAAUAGUUAAUAACAUCAAAGAUUGUGAAAGCAAGUAUAAAUAACACAGAGAUUAAAAUAAUGAGGCAGGA
rnacentral:lncRNA from 1 species